AAACGGUGACGGUGCUGGCUGGUGCCCCCAGGAGCUGUUCACCACCUCCCGGGCUAAUGGCGCUUGCUGCCUGGCACACAGCAGGUGACUACACUGCAUGGCUUAUAAAUGUGGCCUCUGCCAGGAAAUCCUGGGAAAGAGCCAGGGAGGUGACGUUUUAUCCACGAGCCUGCUAUGGCUUAGCCUAGCCCUCCCCUAACUGUGACCAAGCUCUGGAUGAGACACAGACAACUACUGAGGACCUGCAAAGUAAGGAGACUGCAGGGCGGAGGCGGAACUUGGAGGAGUGACCUGCCGUGGAGUUUCUGGUUUCCUCCUUGUGGCUUUGUCUGGAGGGCAAGCCCCACUCUCAGAUCCACAUGGCAACACAAGCAGCUAAAACGCAGAUAGAAACCCCAACCUGGGAAAAGGAGUCCUACAGCAGAAUGGAGACAAAGGAAAGCCAGCGAACGUGAAGACAGAUAAAUAGAAAAUAUCCACUCCGAAGAACGAAGAUAAAGAGGAAAAACAAGAACAAGCAUCACGGGCCAGCUGGGGUCGUAUCGAAAGGCCCAGCACAUACCUGGUUCCAGAAAGCAAGGAGGAGGUUGGGGCAGAAAGUUAUUUGAAGGAAUAUUGGCUGAAACAUCCCAAGUCUGGUGAAAUACAUAAAUGUAAGCAUUCAAGAAGCUCAGUGAACCCCAAAGAAGAUAAACAGAAAGGAAAAUAGACCCAGACAUAGCAUCAUCAAAUUGCUGAAAACUGAAGAAAACAUCUGGAAAGCAGCUAGAGAAAAACAACACAUUUCGUACACAAAAGCAGUGACUCCAGUGACUACAGAAUUCUUGCCAGAAACCACGGCAGCCAGGAGACAGCAGAACGAUGUCUUUAAUGCAUGAAAGG
rnacentral:lncRNA from 1 species